UACGUAGGGUGCGAGCGUUAAUCGGAAUUACUGGGCGUAAAGCGUGCGCAGGCGGUUUGGUAAGACAGAUGUGAAAUCCCCGGGCUUAACCUGGGAAUUGCAUUUGUGACUGCCCGGCUAGAGUGUGUCAGAGGGGGGUAGAAUUCCACGUGUAGCAGUGAAAUGCGUAGAUAUGUGGAGGAAUACCGAUGGCGAAGGCGGCAUCCUGGACCGGCAUUGACGCUGAGGCGCGAAAGCCAGGGGAGCAAACGGG
rnacentral:rRNA from 1 species